rnacentral:lncRNA from 1 species
AGCAAACUAGCACCACAAUGUGCCCCUACUUUCAUAUGGAUGAAAAGGACACAGACCAUACGGUCCUCUGCUUUCAUAUGGACCAAAAUAGGUCACCCAACAAAAAAUCAUCAAUAGUUUAGCAAGUCUGUACCCUCAAGAAUGAACAUAUAGGAAUAUCUGUUGUCCACCCAUAACAUACGGAGAUCAAAAUCAGCUCAACUUAGAUGACUAGCUAAC